rnacentral:rRNA from 1 species
GACGAACGCUGGCGGCGUGCUUAACACAUGCAAGUCGAACGGAAAGGCCCUGCUUGCAGGGUACUCGAGUGGCGAACGGGUGAGUAACACGUGUGUGAUCUGCCCUGCACUUCGGGAUAAGCCUGGAAAACUGGGUCUAAUGCCGGACAGUAGCCACUUUUAGUGUGAUGGUUGGAAAGAUUUUUCGGUGUAGGAUGAGCUCGCGGCCUAUCCGCUUGUUGGUGGGGUAAUGGCCUACCAAGGCGGCCACGGGUAGCCGGCCUGACAGGGUGGACGGCCACAUUGGGUCUGAGAUACGGCCCAGCCUCCUACGGGAGGCAGCAGUGGGGAAUAUUGCACAAUGGGCGCAAGCCUGAUGCGGCGACGCCGAGUGGGGGAUGACGGCCUUCGGGUUGUAAACUCCUUUCGCUAGGGACGAAGCUUUUUGUGGCGGUACCUAGAUAAGAAGCACCGGCUAACUACGUG